rnacentral:rRNA from 1 species
GGAUAACAGGCUGAUACCGCCCAAGAGUUCAUAUCGACGGCGGUGUUUGGCACCUCGAUGUCGGCUCAUCACAUCCUGGGGCUGAAGUAGGUCCCAAGGGUAUGGCUGUUCGCCAUUUAAAGUGGUACGCGAGCUGGGUUUAGAACGUCGUGAGACAGUUCGGUCCCUAUCUGCCGUGGGCGCUGGAGAACUGAGGGGGGCUGCUCCUAGUACGAGAGGACCGGAGUGGACGCAUCACUGGUGUUCGGGUUGUCAUGCCAAUGGCACUGCCCGGUAGCUAAAUGCGGAAGAGAUAAGUGCUGAAAGCAUCUAAGCACGAAACUUGCCCCGAGAUGAGUUCUCCCUGAGACUUAGAGUCUCCUGAAGGAACGUUGAAGACGACGACGUUGAUAGGCCGGGUGUGUAAGCGCAGCGAUGCGUUGAGCUAACCGGUACUAAUGAACCGUGAGGCUUAACCUU